UUAUGCUGAGAAAUAUAAAAAUGCUACAUGUAACAGUCUUAAAGAUUUAGCUGAGUUACAUACAAGAAACAUUUAAAUGACUGGAUUUGACAUAACUGAGAAUAGCAAAAUACAUUUAGUCAAGUCUGGGGCAUCCCAGCUCAGUGGGUGAUGUUUUUAGUGGGUAUACAGUGGGUAACUGGAACAUGAGGUACAUGCCUGCAACAAGGGGCUUGUGGAUUUGAACGCGAAUUAUUACAGAGAAAUUGACAAUCAAUACUCUGGCAUCAGCUCUGGUGUACAUUUCCACAGUCAAAAUGCCAAAUGCUCCCAAUUGAAAAGCUAACCAAGAAAAACCUUCAUGGCAAAAGGAGCUGGAACAGUAACGGAAAAGGCAGAGAUGAAUUACUUACAGCUCACAAUCCAUUUCAGCAUGAGUACAGGUGCCUGAUGUUUCAGUAUGAGAACAGGUGCCUGAUGUUUCAGCAUGAGAACAGGUGCCUGAUGUUUCAGCAUGAGAACAGGUGCCUGAUGUUUCAACAUGAGAACAGGUGCCUGAUGUUUCAGCAUGAGAACAGUUGCCUGAUGUUUCAACAUGAGAACAGGUGCCUGAUGUUUCAACAUGAGAACAGGUGCCUGAUGUUUCAGCAUAAGAACAUGUGCCUGAUAUUUCAACAUGAAUACAGGUGCCUGAUGUUUCAGCACUGAGCACAGGUGCCUGAUGUUUCAGCAUAAGAACAUGUGCCUGAUAUUUCAACAUGAAUACAGGUGCCUGAUGUUUCAGCACUGAGCACAGGUGCCUGAUGUUUCAACAUGAGCACAAGUGCCUGAUGUUUCAGCAUAAGAACAUGUGCCUGAUGUUUCAGCACUGAGCUGGCAUCUCCUUCAGAGUAACCUGACCGUUGCACGGUACUCCUAUUUAAAAUUUAGAGGACUAUUCAGACACAAUUUUGUUUUACAUUGGAAAAGUUAGAUGAUUUUUUCCCAGUUGAUAUGGUCAGUUUUUAUCUUCAUGUGGGAAGAUGAUAUUUGAUAAACAAUUUUACAUUUCAGCUAAUGUAUUAUAUGACCAACUAGUGAUGUUGACCGGAGGUAUUGGCACUUUCUCAAAUAACUUUGUCUUUAAAAGUAAGUUUAAGUGGACCGAAGUAUUUAAUCUCCACAAUUCUUAUUUCACUGCUAAUAUUACAGAAACUUUGUUUAUAUUGUUUUAUAUCAAAAAAUAAACUUGAAUGGCACAGACAAAAUUGAAAUGCUAAGCUCAGUGUGUUGUAGCACUGCUUUUUGCAAACAAACAGUUUG
ensembl:lncRNA